rnacentral:rRNA from 1 species
AAUGAACGCUGGCGGCGUGCCUAACACAUGCAAGUCGAACGAGAAAGCCUGGCUUGCCAGGCAAGUAAAGUGGCGCACGGGUGAGUAACGCGUGGGUAAUCUACCUUUGUCUGGGGGAUAACAUACCGAAAGGUGUGCUAAUACCGCAUAACGUGAUCGGAUUGCGAUUUGAUCACCAAAGAAGGCCUCUCCCUGGAAGCUUUCGGGUAAAGAUGAGCCCGCGUCCCAUUAGCUAGUUGGUAGGGUAAAGGCUUACCAAGGCGAUGAUGGGUAGCCGGCCUGAGAGGGUGAUCGGCCACACUGGAACUGAGACACGGUCCAGACACCUACGGGUGGCUG